rnacentral:misc_RNA from 1 species
UGUGGGAGCGGGCUUGCUCGCGAAGGCGUCGUCCCAGUCAAUACUCAUGUGACUGACACACCGCCUUCGCGAGCAAGCCCGCUCCCACA